CCAGAGCGGCACCACCGAGAUGCGGAUGUUGAAGGAGAGCAGACGUGACAGCUCGAGGCCGAGCUUCCGGUUUCCGUCCAAGAUGGCGGCAGCGAUGUCUGGUCGCCUCCGAUAUUGGAAGCGACGGCAGCCGUUUGUCCCUGGCGUGAAAUAAACGCGAAUUCCCACCCUCAGGCGACAGUCGCUUGCUUGUGGGGACGGGCAGAGAUGUGUCUGUCGGAAGAUAGCUCUUUGAGAGCCAGAUUAUCUCGCUGGACUAGCACAGCAAGACGACUUUCCUCAAGGCUGCCCUCAGCUCGCAGGCUUGUCUGGCCAUGGAAGCGAGGAAAGGUCUACACUUGUUGCCGACCUCUUAAGCCCCUGAAGCAAUACCUCCGUCGUUAACUUUCCUGCCCCUUGUCAAAUAACGGAACUUGCUGUAGUACUCCCAAGACAAAAACACGAUUCAAUGUGAAAUAUACUCGGAGUCGGGAGUGGAUUUAAUGCACUUUAUUCAGCUCACAGUGGUGAGAAGGAAUGGAAGUUACCCCAGAAUGUCUGCUUUAUGUACAUUACUUACACAAUGAUUACUUACACGUGAUUGGCUAAGUCCGGGAUUCUCCUGUAGGCCAAUCAGGUUGCUGAUUCACUUCCACCUGGAGCUGGAUUGGGUGGCUGCUGCAUUCUGGAUCCUAUUGUUAUAGGACCAAUCAGACUGCUGCAUUCUGAAUCCUAUUGUUCUAGGACCAAUCAGACUGUUGCAUUUUGGAUCCUAUUCAACUCAGUACGUAACAAAUGUGUAGUUAGACAAGAGGAAAUGUUCUACAAGGCAGCAAGUGUGAAAUUGGAUCAGGCUUGCUUUUCUCUACAUAGCUGCUGAGUCCCCUGCUCUCCUACACAGACAAGCCUCAAAGGUCUAUGUCUUGGAAACUGGAUUCAAUCAUUUCAUCAGGUGUUUCUGAAAACUUAAGGAUAAGGCGGCAGUGAUGAGCAACAAAAUGUGCAAGAGAUGAAGGGAUGCCAUCCAAGUACCAUCCAAGUAAAUAAAAGAAAGGGAAAAGGUGGACAGUCAAAGGGAAAAUAGAGCAUAUAAGUAUCUUAGAACCCAUCUUGGGGAGAUUGCCCCAACCCCUUGCUGAGUGAUCAGAACUUACUCAGCGAGACAGAGAGGAAAAUGCAGUCUGCACUUGCCUCAUAGGGGAGCUGUUCCACCCCCUUGAACAUUUUUGUUGCCCUUCAGUGAACCUUUUCCACCUCUACAGUAUCCUUUUGUAGUUGAGGCAACCACAAUCAUACACAGUAUUCCGAUUACCGUAUUUUUCGCUCUAUAAGAUGUACCUGACAAUAAGACGCACCUAGCUUUUAGAGGAGGAAAGGGGGAAAGCCCUGUUUUUUGGGGGGAAUCAGCCCACAGUUUUGCAGCUUCUUUUGCAAAGGGGAAAAGCCCCAUUUUUUUUUUUUUUGAGGAUCAGCUCAAAGUUGUGCGGCUUCUUUUGCAAAGGCAAAAAGCCGCGUUUUUGAGGAUCACCUCACAGUUGUACAGCUUCUUUUGCAAAAGGAAAAAGUCCCUUCUUUUGAGGAUCAGCUCAAAGUUGUUGAGCUUACUUUGCAAAAGGAAAAUAUUCUGUUUUUAUAGGGUUCACCUCACAGUUCUGCAGCUUCUUUAGGAAAGGAAAGGGAGCCAUUUCUACAGUGUCCAGAAAGAUAAUCUAAUCAGCCAGUCACAUGUCGCUGGGGAAAAAACAGCCUCCAUCUGCAGAACAUUCAACAAUGGAGGCCUGGGCAAUGGGCCGGGGCCGGAAAGGGAUCCAGCGAUUGACCACACAUUUGCUCCAUAAGACGCACAGACAUUUCCCCUUACUUAUUAGGAGAGGAAAAGUGUGUCUUAUGGAGCGAAAAAUAUGGUACGUGAAACCUCAGAUUCGUAUAAUGCCAUUAUGACAUUAGCAGUUUUAUUUUCAAUUCCUUUCCUAACUAUUUGUAGCAUGGAAAUCACCUUUUCCACAGCUGCUGCAUGUUGGGGUGACAUUACCAUUGAGCUACCCAUGAUGACCCCCAAGGUCUCAUUCCUGGUCGGUCACUUUCAGUUCAGACCCCAUGAUUUGUCUAGGUGAAAUUAAGAUUACUGGCCCCGGUGUGCAUCAUUUUACACGUUAAAUACAUUGCAAUUUGCCAUUUUACUGCCCAUCCACCCGGUUGGAAGAGAGCCUUUUGAAACUCAUCGCAAUCCCUUGUUUUAACAAACCUGACUGGUGUGGUAUCAUUGCCAAACUUGGCUUCCUGACUGUCAAAUCAUUUGUAAACAAGUUAAAAAGCGAAGGCCCCUAUACUGAUUCUUGGAUGCAGAGAUGGUUGUAGGGUACCCUGACUGGUGCAGCCAUACUAUGUGCAGCACUGCUGGGGGUGCUGCAGCAAUGCUGUAGAAUAGAGCAUGUGUGGUGGAGGGGGGGUUAGUUGCAAAUUUUAGCAUCACACAGGGUGCCACUAAAAUCUGAGAGCCCAAAGUCUGCCACAGUUGGGAAGUUCUACGUUCCUCCAUUGGGAGAAGUAUCCAUUUAUUCCUGUUCUCCGUUUCCUGUUUCUCAACCAAUUACUGAUCUAUAAGAGGGCAUCACUUCGUUGUCCAUUAUUACUCAACUUAGACUUUGGUGAGGUAGCAAGGAACUACAGUCAUACCUUGGUUCUGGAACGCCUUGCGAGUUGAAUGUUUUGGCUCCUGAACGCCACAAAUCCGGAAGUGAGUGUUCCGGUUUGCAAAUGUUCUUUGGAACCCGAAUGUCCAACGCAGCUUACGCAGCUUCCGAUUGGCUGCAGGAGCUUCCUGCAGCCAAUCGGAAGCUGCGCCUUGGUUUCUGAACGUUUUGGAACUUCCAGAACUGAUUCCGUUUGACUUCCAAGGUACAACUGUAGCUCCAAAUGAACAUGGAUAUAAUCCCUGAGGGGAGAAGCUUAGCUGUUUAGCUGCACCGUUUGUCAGUCAUCAGAGACAGUUCCGCUGUCCUAUUAAAAAAACAAACUUUUGUCUCUUUUGCUGGAAUAAAAGAAAUAACAUACAAGGUGUUCCCCUAACCAUGUGAUGCAAUGUGUGAGGACCCAACUAAGAUCACAUGCACCCCAUACAUUUAAAGCACAUUACGUCCCCCAAGGAAUCCUGGGAGUUGUAGUUUGUUAAGGCUGUUGGGAAUUGUAGCUCUGUAAGGGUAAAUGGCAGUUUCCGGGAUUCUUUGGGGGAAAUCAUGUGCUUCAAAUGUAUGGCGCGUACGUAGCCUUACUCAUACUUGGAGCAGAUCCACCGAAAUCAGUGGGCUUAAUUGAGCCAUGCUAUUAAUUUCAUAGGUCUACUCUGAAGUAUGGCUUUGUUGGAUACAGCACAUCACAUCUGAAAUUCCUCGCAGGAGGUUAUUCCCAGCAUUUUCCAGAAAUCUACAUAAAAACACCAUUGUUAAAAAACAGAAACCUGAAAGCUGUACCCCAUUCCAAGAGUUAAUAACUGCAGCUGAGUGUGGCGCUUAAAAGAAAUCUGUUUUCAGGGACAGUGAUUCUUUCUUGUCAGAUGCUGAAGUUAAAGAAGAUUGAUAAUGCCUUACGCAAGCAAUUUACAGCAUCCUCCAAGGGCUUCAAAGUAUAAUCCAUUGUAUUUUAGCUGUAAUUUCACAUUCAAAGAAGCUGAAAGUAGUUUUCAAAAUGUGUAUUGGGGGGGGGGGAGGACCUUCCAUUUUACAGUGUCCACUGGCAUCCUGUGCAUUAAAUAUACAUAGUAUUUAUCUUGUGAUAAUCACUGGCCUAAAAGCUGGAUUACAGUGUUUAUUCUUUGUUGCAAUGUGUCUUUUUCUUCUUAGAGGCUCUUGAAGCGUCUGCGUAAAGCUAAUUGUUCAAUGAUUAUCAUGAUGAGCAGACACUUUCUACCAGAUAUAAUAUUUUUAUGCUUUACUAUGUUUUUAUGGUCACACAAUAUCAUUUUCUCAUCUGUAAUAGGACCCCAGGUGCUGCCUAGAUGUUAAGAGGAACGCUGCAUGUUUCAUCACUGGCUCUUAAAGAACAGCAUUGAGGUCCAAAAUGUAUGUCCUUAAGGAGAUCUUCUAGCAAUUAAUCCUCUUUCCUCUGACAAGUGUUUAUGUGAGAUUGCUCUGUUUCCUUUUAUAUUUUAUCUA